ACUUUUCUUGGUAGUUUAUCCCAGUACUAGUUUGGUCUGAAGUUUAUGCUAGUAUAUUUGGGCGCUCUUUGUCACGUGAAUUUCGUGAAAUAUUUCGGCGUAUAUAAGUGUGAACUGAUAUUGUUCUCACCACUCGAGGUUUAUGAUUGGCAGUAAACAGUCUGUACCCGCCCUCCCUCCCAUGAUGUAUGUUGGUGCUUGUAUUUCAGUUAUAGCUUGCUUCAAUGAAACAAACUGGCCUGAAAAUUUCUUGUCUAGAAUAUUAAGUUUAUUUUAUUAUAAAAUAAAUGUUGUUUUUGGUUUAUGUUUCCUAUUCUACACAGGUUAUGUUAAGUUUUGAAUAUAUAUAAUGUGUGUUUGUUUUUUCUAAGUAAAUCACUCCAAUUGUUAGUUGUAAAGCUACAAUUUUGGUUGUAUCUGUUUGGUUCUGGUGAUGUUUUUUCUAAUAAAAUCUUAAACACCAGAUAAAAUUAGAGAUUUUAUUAAUAAUUCACGCCUGUGUUUUACGCAAACUUGAAACAUUUAUCUUAACAACAUGAUUAAAUUUACUUUUAGUCUCGUUUCAGUUCAAAUUUACCCGGAUACUAGAUCGCUUGGAACCAUACGAAGAACAUUAAAUCGAUUGUUGAAAUAUGAAUUUACUUCGCGAACAAUUGUACACUUUUAUGCUGCCAAUUAUAUACCUUAUUCCUA
rnacentral:lncRNA from 1 species